rnacentral:rRNA from 1 species
UACGAAGGGGGCUAGCGUUGUUCGGAAUUACUGGGCGUAAAGGGUGCGUAGGCGGGUCUUUAAGUCAGGGGUGAAAUCCUGGAGCUCAACUCCAGAACUGCCUUUGAUACUGAAGAUCUCGAGUCCGGAAGAGGUGAGUGGAAUUCCGAGUGUAGAGGUGAAAUUCGUAGAUAUUCGGAGGAACACCAGUGGCGAAGGCGGCUCACUGGUCCGGUACUGACGCUGAGGUGCGAAAGCGUGGGGAGCAAACAGG